UACGUAGGGUGCAAGCGUUGUCCGGAAUUAUUGGGCGUAAAGAGCUCGUAGGCGGUUUGUCGCGUCUGCUGUGAAAUCCCAGGGCUUAACCCUGGGCCUGCAGUGGGUACGGGCAAACUAGAGUGCGGUAGGGGAGAUCGGAAUUCCUGGUGUAGCGGUGAAAUGCGCAGAUAUCCGGAGGAACACCGGUGGCGAAGGCGGACCUCUGGGCCGUAACUGACGCUGAGGAGCGAAAGCAUGGGUAGCGAACAGG
rnacentral:rRNA from 1 species